rnacentral:lncRNA from 1 species
UUUUUUUCCAGAGACAGGGGGUUUCUCUGUGCAGUCCUGGCUGUCCUGGAACUCACUCUGUAGACCAGGCUGGUCUCGAACUCAGAAAUCUGCCUGCCUCUGCCUCCCAAGUGCUGGGAUUAAAGAUGUGCACCACCAUGCCUGGCAACCAAGUCAACUCUUAUGAGGACAACAUUUAAUUGGGGCUGGCUUACAGGUUGAGAGGUUCAGUCCAUCAUCAUCAAGGCAGGAGCAUGGCAGAGUGGUGUAAGAGGAGCUGAGAGUUCUACACCUUCAUCUGAAGGCUGCUAAGAGAAGACUGACUUCCAGGUAGCUAGGACAAGGGUCUUAAAGCCCAUGCCCACAAUGACACAUCUGUUCUCACAAGGCCACACCUACUCUGACAAUGCUACACCUCCUAAUAGUGUCACUCCGUGGGAUAAGCAUAUGCAAACUAUCAUGCCUAGCUAGCUGUUGAUAUGAGUGUUUUGAUGAAACCCUGGUAUACGGUUUCUGAUGCUGUGAUGGUCCACUGAUGCCUUUUGUUAUUAUUGCUUUUAAAGAAAUGGCUUUUAGAUAGUCAAGGGAGGCAGACCUGGGGAUAUAAACUAGGCUUAGUUCUUACUGUCUGUGUAUACCAAGUAAGUUUUUAACAUCUCAAACCUUAGUCUCUCUUGUUUUAAAACAAGUAAGGUACCAUCUGGCUUUUACAUUAUAUUAGAAUUAAGUGGCAUAAUUGAUAAGAGAUGCGUAACUAUCUGGCAGCCAUACGAAGGGAGAAGGUUGCUUAAUAUCUCUGGCAGUCAACUUUCUAUUACUGCACUGAGACAAAUCAGUAUGGAGAGAGAGACAGAGAGGUUUUUUUUUUUAAUUUUUUUAUUUUGGCUCAUGGUUUCAGACUUGUGAUGAUCAUUGCUAGGAGUUUGAGAACUAGAGAAACAACACUCCUUAGGUUGCUAGAAGGCAUGCCAUUAGACUCUAACAGUGCCCUGCCUCCAUCAGUGUAUGAUGUUCUUGCCUGCAUGUGCACUUUGGAGUAGAGAGGUCAACGUCAAGUGUCUUCCUCUGAUAUGCCACACAUCUCUACAUCUUGUUUUCUGACAAGGGUUCUUACUGCAUUUGGCGCUUACUGUUUCAGAAAGGCUGGCUGGCCAGUGAAUUUCAAAGCUCCGCCUACAUCUUUUCUCCCACCCAGUGCUGAGGUUACAGACGUGCACUGCCAUACCCAGUAUUUACAUGUGUGGUGAAGAUUAAAACUUAGGCCUUCAGGCGUGUGCAACAAGAACAUUCUACCCACUGAACUAACUCCCUGGCUCCCGUUCUACCUCUUAACAUUUUAGCUACUAGCUGGUAGCGCUGAGCCGAGAAUUAACCCUUUAACGGGUGCAACUAUCAUAAGACUAUAGUUUAUAUUAUAACAUAAGAAUCUGCAGGGUCUCUGGCAGUGUAUGGGUUGGCAAAAGAGUAGAAGUACAGAAUUGCUUAGAAGGUGUGCAAGUUGGUUGCGGCUUACAUUGGUAACAACUCACUGCAAAGGCUCAGAAGAGUUCCAAGUGGGUUCUGGGUUUGGUCUUUGCAGCCCCGGCUGAAAGCUUGUCUCUCCAUUUUGGCUGUAACUCCUUCCAUUCUUGUUCCCCUCAUAACAUCAGUGACUAUUACACCCAAGAUGAAUAAGAUUUGAAAAUGCAGGCAGGAAAAGGAAAAGGGGUGUGAUUCUAACCUUAAUGUCUAUGAGCUUGUUUGACUUCAGGAAUAUGGACAGUGUGGUUUUUUUUUUUUUUGUUUUGUUUUUUGUUUUUUUUUGUUUUUGUUUUGUUUUGUUUUGGCUUGUUUUCCUAGUUUGAUGGCAGAUAUAUCAUCUUGCUAUUAUCUUAAAUGUUUUUGGAGGACACGGGAGGGAUCAAAGCAGUCAUACCCCAGCAGAGGGUAGUAUUUCUGUGAGGGAGAAGCCGGCCUGGCCUCUGUGGUUGCUCUAGCACAGACUUGUGCCCACAGGUGUGGAAAUGCAUUCUCUGGUUGUUGCACACGCUCCACACAGCUCCCACAGCAAUCCGAAUGGGUAGCAGUCACAUCCUUGAGAUGCAUGAUUUAAUAAGAGAGGCGGCGCUUUCACAGUCAAUAUUUCAACUGCGACAUUCUAAGACGAGCACAGUUUGGAGAGGGGAAGGCUUAAAAUGGAUUAAAAUUUAAACAAUUCCCAAUCAAAUGGAAAUGUUCUGGGAAUUGUGCCAGAGAGUAUUGUUGAAUUGGUUUUAAUAUAAGCAUUCUAAAUUUAACCAGCUGGAAUUAUUUGCAAUUUGGGGGGAAUUAUAUAUGUGGAUAUGUUGAAUAGAUAUUUAAAAUACAAUAUUUAUUCUUUAUGAAAAAUCAGCCCCAGCUCUUGUUGGCAGAGGUGUCAGAGUACAUAUUGUGUUCUGAAUAUUGGAUCACAGAAUUUUAAGGGAGAUAGGAUCUAGAGGUCAGCGAAGAUAAUUCUCUUUCUUGUUGAUGGAGAAACAAACUAGAGAAAACAGGCUCAGAUCCAGUAAGCAAUGCGCUCAGGCAGGACCCUGCUCUAUGCCUGUGCCCAAGCAAGGGCCUCUUUUCCUGACCCAGCUGAGUUCCCACUAAAUGUGCCAGGCUGCCACAGGCCUGAUUUCCGGACAGCCAGGCUCUUCCACUGACCUUACUGGGUAACAGAUGUGCUUUUAAACAAAAGCC